GACGAACGCUGGCGGCGUGCCUAAUACAUGCAAGUAGAACGCUGAAGCUUGGUGCUUGCACCGAGCGGAUGAGUUGCGAACGGGUGAGUAACGCGUAGGUAACCUGCCUGGUAGCGGGGGAUAACUAUUGGAAACGAUAGCUAAUACCGCAUAACAGUAGAUAUCGCAUGAUAGCUACUUGAAAGGUGCAAAUGCACCACUACCAGAUGGACCUGCGUUGUAUUAGCUAGUUGGUGAGGUAACGGCUCACCAAGGCAACGAUACAUAGCCGACCUGAGAGGGUGAUCGGCCACACUGGGACUGAGACACGGCCCAGACUCCUACGGGAGGCAGCAGUAGGGAAUCUUCGGCAAUGGACGGAAGUCUGACCGAGCAACGCCGCGUGAGUGAAGAAGGGUUUCGGAUCGUAAAGCUCUGUUGUAAGAGAAGAACGAGUGUGAGAGUGGAAAGUUCACACUGUGACGGUAUCUUACCAGAAAGGGACGGCUAACUACGUG
rnacentral:rRNA from 1 species